ACGGGAGGCAGCAGUGGGGAAUAUUGGGCAAUGGGCGAAAGCCUGACCCAGCAACGCCGCGUGAAGGAAGAAGGUCUUCGGAUUGUAAACUUCUUUUAUGAGGGACGAAGGACGUGACGGUACCUCAUGAAUAAGCCACGGCUAACUACGUGCCAGCAGCCGCGGUAAUACGUAGGUGGCAAGCGUUAUCCGGAUUUACUGGGUGUAAAGGGCGCGUAGGCGGGAUGGCAAGUCAGAUGUGAAAUCCAUGGGCUCAACCCAUGAACUGCAUUUGAAACUGUCGUUCUUGAGUGUCGGAGAGGCAAGCGGAAUUCCUAGUGUAGCGGUGAAAUGCGUAGAUAUUAGGAGGAACACCAGUGGCGAAGGCGGCUUGCUGGACGAUAACUGACGCUGAGGCGCGAAAGCGUGGGGAGCAAACAGGAUUAGAUACCCUGGUA
rnacentral:rRNA from 1 species